GGGGAAUUAACUCAAUUGGUAGAGUAUCUCAUUUACAUUGAGAAAGUUAACGGUUCAAGCCCGUUAUUCCCCA
rnacentral:tRNA from 1 species